rnacentral:rRNA from 1 species
UACGGAGGGUGCAAGCGUUAUCCGGAUUCACUGGGUUUAAAGGGUGCGUAGGCGGAUAUGUAAGUCCGUGGUGAAAUCUCAAAGCUUAACUUUGAAACUGCCAUGGAUACUAUGUAUCUUGAAUGUUGUGGAGGUUUGCGGAAUAUGUCAUGUAGCGGUGAAAUGCUUAGAUAUGACAUAGAACACCGAUUGCGAAGGCAGCAGGCUACACAAAUAUUGACGCUGAGGCACGAAAGCGUGGGGAUCAAACAGG